rnacentral:rRNA from 2 species
AAGCACUUUAUACUGUGAAACUGCGAAUGGCUCAUUAAAUCAGUUAUCGUUUAUUUGAUAGUACCUUACUACAUGGAUACCUGUGGUAAUUCUAGAGCUAAUACAUGCUAAAAACCCCGACUUCAGGAAGGGGUGUAUUUAUUAGAUAAAAAACCAACGCCCUUCGGGGCUCCUUGGUGAAUCAUAAUAACUUAACGAAUCGCAUGGCCUUGCGCCGGCGAUGGUUCAUUCAAAUUUCUGCCCUAUCAACUUUCGAUGGUAGGAUAGUGGCCUACCAUGGUGGCAACGGGUAACGGGGAAUUAGGGUUCGAUUCCGGAGAGGGAGCCUGAGAAACGGCUACCACAUCCAAGGAAGGCAGCAGGCGCGCAAAUUACCCAAUCCCGAUACGGGGAGGUAGUGACAAUAAAUACUGAUACGGGGCUCUUUUGGGUCUCGUAAUUGGAAUGAGAACAAUUUAAAUCCCUUAACGAGGAACAAUUGGAGGGCAAGUCUGGUGCCAGCAGCCGCGGUAAUUCCAGCUCCAAUAGCGUAUAUUAAAGUUGUUGCAGUUAAAAAGCUCGUAGUUGAACCUUGGGUCUGGCUGGCCGGUCCGCCUCACCGCGAGUACUGUCCGGCUGGACCUUUCCUUCUGGGGAACCUCAUGGCCUUCACUGGCUGUGGGGGGAACCAGGACUUUUACUGUGAAAAAAUUAGAGUGUUCAAAGCAGGCCUUUGCUCGAAUACAUUAGCAUGGAAUAAUAGAAUAGGACGUGCGGUUCUAUUUUGUUGGUUUCUAGGACCGCCGUAAUGAUUAAUAGGGAUAGUCGGGGGCGUCAGUAUUCAGCUGUCAGAGGUGAAAUUCUUGGAUUUGCUGAAGACUAACUACUGCGAAAGCAUUCGCCAAGGAUGUUUUCAUUAAUCAGGGAACGAAAGUUAGGGGAUCGAAGACGAUCAGAUACCGUCGUAGUCUUAACCAUAAACUAUGCCGACUAGGGAUCGGACGGGAUUCUAUGAUGACCCGUUCGGCACCUUACGAGAAAUCAAAGUUUUUGGGUUCUGGGGGGAGUAUGGUCGCAAGGCUGAAACUUAAAGAAAUUGACGGAAGGGCACCACAAGGCGUGGAGCCUGCGGCUUAAUUUGACUCACCCCGGGA